CGUUUCUUGCAACACAAGGCACCCGUUAUCGUCGUUGAUUCGAAUUCAUUCCUACACCAUCUUAUGACGUCUAGACCCCCUCAGCCAUUGCCAAAAUUCGGCGAAUGGGAUGAGAAAGAUCCUGCAUCUGCUGAUGGAUUCACGGUAAUAUUCGCAAAGGCACGCGAUGAAAAGAACACCAAAGGCCCUCCCAACAAAGGCCCCCCUCCACCCCCACCACGGCCACCACCACCCGAAAAGGAGCCCACGAAGAAUAGAUUUUGCUGUUUUUGAAUAGUUAUAAGACGGCAUUGUCAACAAAAUCGUGGUAUGGUUAUUGAUGGGUUCGUCGAAGAUUCAAAUGUAUGGUGGGUGGUGUAUGAUGGCGACGCCGAAGACAACAACGAUGGUGGUGGUGGUGGUGGUAUGCCUAUAGCUUUUACCAUCCACCAUGAAUCCAUGAACUAUAGGGGGUAGUUAGAUUGU